GCCCACUUGGCUCAGUGGUAGAGCGUGUCGCCAAUGCCGUCCCUAAGAAAUACCUUUAGAACAGCGUCUGGUUCACGACAAGAUCAUCAGUUCGAUUCUGAUAGUGGGUA